GACGAACGCUGGCGGCGUGCUUAACACAUGCAAGUCGAACGGUGAAGCGCCUUCCUUUUUGGUGGGUGUGGAUGAGUGGCGAACGGGUGAGUAACACGUGAGUAACCUGCCCCCUUCUUCUGGAUAACCGCAUGAAAGUGUGGCUAAUACGGGAUAUUCUGGGUCUGUCGCAUGAUGGGUCUGGGAAAGAUAUUGUUUCGGUGGGGGAUGGGCUCGCGGCCUAUCAGCUUGUUGGUGGGGUGAUGGCCUACCAAGGCGGUGACGGGUAGCCGGCCUGAGAGGGUGGACGGUCGCACUGGGACUGAGACACGGCCCAGACUCCUACGGGAGGCAGCAGUGGGGAAUAUUGCACAAUGGGCGCAAGCCUGAUGCAGCGACGCCGCGUGAGGGAUGGAGGCCUUCGGGUUGUGAACCUCUUUCGCCAGUGAAGCAGGCCUGCCUCGUUUGUGGGUGGGUUGACGGUAACUGGAGAAGAAGCGCCGGCUAACUACGUG
rnacentral:rRNA from 1 species